GUGCCUAACACAUGCAAGUCAACUUGACUGAAGGAGCAAUCUGACAGUAGAGUGGCGCAAGGGUGCGUAACGCGUAAGUAACUUGCCCAAGGUAAGGAAUAACGUCGAGAAAUCGGCGCUAAUACCUCAUAAUGCAGCGGAUCCGCAUGGAUAUGUUGUUAAAGGUUUACCGCCUUGGGAUAGGCUUGCGUCUGAUUAGCUAGUUGGUGUGGUAACGGCACACCAAGGCUACGAUCAGUAACUGGUCUGAGAGGAUGAUCAGUCACACUGGAACUGAGACACGGUCCAGACUCCUACGGGAGGCAGCAGUGAGGAAUAUUGGGCAAUGCUCGAAAGAGUGACCCAGCAACGCCGCGUGGAGGAUGAAGGUAUUCUAUAUCGUAAACUCCUGUGAGAGCAGACGAAAGACAGAUUAUUAAUCUGGAUGACUGUAUGCUCAGAGGAAGCCCCGGCUAACUACGUG
rnacentral:rRNA from 1 species